rnacentral:rRNA from 1 species
UACAGAGGUCCCAAGCGUUGUUCGGAUUCACUGGGCGUAAAGGGUGCGUAGGUGGCCAGGUAAGUUUGGUGUGAAAGCUCGGAGCUUAACUCCGAAAAGUCAUUGAAUACUAUCUGGCUGGAGGGUCGGAGGGGAGACUGGAAUUCUCGGUGUAGCAGUGAAAUGCGUAGAUAUCGAGAGGAACACCAGUGGCGAAGGCGGCUCUCUGGGCAGAUACUGACGCUGAGACGCGAAAGCAUGGGGAGCAAACAGG